rnacentral:misc_RNA from 1 species
UUUUCUCUAGUAAAAUUUUAAAUUUGCAGGUGCACAUAUGCCAAAAUUUAUUAAUUUUAAAACAACUCAUGGCAUAGAUUCCUUGCAUAAAUGAAAAUGAUCAGAUAAACUGCGUACCAUCUGUGAUAAUUUAAUUUGAAUUGAUGGAGACAAAUACUAUAUUCUAUAUGAUUAAAAUAUGCCAAGUAAUUACUUAGCAAUUUCAAUUUGUUGAAAGGUGUCAUCAUCCAUGUUUAUUAUUGUUCUUUUCACUUUCCAUUUCAUUUCCAAGAACCUUUUUUAAUACCGUGAUGGCCACGGCUUUACCGGUCUUCUUGAUGCUAUAUUAUACCUUGAAAUGUCCUCACUAAGUGUGAACUGCCCAAGUUUCUGUAAUGGCUG